CCCGCACAAGCGUGGAGCAUGUGGUUUAAUUCGAAGCAACGCGAAGAACCUUACCAGGCCUUGACAUGCAGAGAACUUUCCAGAGAUGGAUUGGUGCCUUCGGGAACUCUGACACAGGUGCUGCAUGGCUGUCGUCAGCUCGUGUCGUGAGAUGUUGGGUUAAGUCCCGUAACGAGCGCAACCCUUGUCCUUAGUUACCAGCACGUUAUGGUGGGCACUCUAAGGAGACUGCCGGUGACAAACUGGAGGAAGGUGGGGAUGACGUCAAAUCAUCAUGCCCCUUAUGACCUGGGCUACAAACGUGAUACAAUGGCUGGAACAAAGGGAUGCGAAGCAGUGAUGUGGAGCGAAACCCAUAAAAACAGUCUCAGUUCGGAUUGCAGGCUGAAACUCGCCUACAUGAAGUUGGAGUUGCUAGUAAUCGCGAAUCAGAAUGUCGCGGUGAAUGCGUUCCCGGGUCUU
rnacentral:rRNA from 1 species